CUAUAUGGUGAUGUCAUCAACGAAAAGUCAUUUUACCAUUAUACCCUCCUAACUCUAAAGAUGCUAAGUUGUUUCUGAUUACCUUUUACAAUCAGUUUAUUUUCUCUCUCUCCGCACCUAAAACACUACCAAAUCACCACUAACCUUAACUCCUCUCAUUGAUUUAUGAGAAUGAGUGAGAUCUAAAAAGAUCUUUGAAUCUGGCAUCGUGAGCGUCAGUAUGAAAUUGUUGCGACAGUGAGCAUGAAGGUGAAAACCUUAUCAACCAGGUAAAGUUCCCAUAUUUUCGUACAUGUUAGGCUUGUAUAGAUCGAAUGAUUCUAGCAUGAUGUAGAGUAUUGUUAAUGUAUUCAUGCAUCUUUGGGUUUUGACGUAGCGAAAAGCGAUAAAUUCGUUCACAAGGAACGAGAUUACCUUGAAUCCACAAAAAAGAGUAGUUUGAAUCAACAUCUGACCUUUUCUUUCAUCUAUUCACAUGGCCAGCCCAUCAGUAUGGAUCAGUAUUUUCUGUUAGCCUAAUUCUUUAUUCUUCUUCAUGCAUCCUUAAUGAGGACACGUGUUUUGUUAUGAAUAUGGUUUUUUGGCCCUAGCGUCACUUUCUAAUUGAUAUAAAUUUUUCCCUCCACACAUGUCAUUGAUGUCAUCAAUCAAUUAUAUCUUGUCACAAAAGUAAAAAUGCAUUUACUUUAAUGAAUCCUAUCACUACGUGUCAGUAUUUAGUUAGUCAAUCAUACUAUGUCACCCAAUAUCCUUGAAGUAUUAAAAUAUUUCUCCUAUAUGAGAUUCAUUCUCUCUUAGGAGUGAUUUCAAUGUAUUGUCGAAUGCACAAUAGAGGAUCAAAACUCAUAUUGUGUAUGUUGUUACGUGUAUGUAUAGCUAGGUUUAAAGACUUACAAUGUCGAAUAAUAGAUUUACUAGGGGUCAAAGUGGAAUUACAAGUAAAGUUUGGUCUUUAUGAAAAAAUACGGUAUAUUAAUAUAAAAUUGGCGUCGGUUUUUGACUUUUUCCGGUGAUCGUUCUGCACAUUUGCAAUCUGAAAGUGAGAUACAAUAUAUAUAUAUAUAUAUAUAGAGGGAGAGAGAGAGAGAGAAUCUGAAAUUGAGUUUUAUUCAGUGGAAGUGAGCCGUUCGGUGCCCUAGCUGAGGAAGACGCCACCAAGAAGACCUCUCAGCUUCUGCUCGCUAUAUUCAGGUGGUGAUGGACUGUCAACUUCUUUCUUUUAACUGGAGCAAGUGCUUAUGUAAAUCCUACCAGACUUGUCAUUUUCGAAUAUUUGGUGCCCAAAAAUAUAUAUAUCGUGGUUCUAAUUAUUUGCGAGCAGGAUCUCUUCAUAAUGCUAUAAGAUGCUCAAUGAAGUCCUAUAGGUUAUCAGAGCUUAGUCAGGUUGAGGUCAAUAGCCUCAAGGCUCGUCCUCGUAUUGAUUUCUCUUCCAUUUUCAGUACGGUUCACCCAAUUGUUGAAGAUGUCCGGAGUAGAGGAGACGCUGCUGUUAAAGAUUAUACUGCACGAUUUGACAAAGUUGAACUAGACACGAUAGUUGAAAAUGUCAGUGAACUUCCAGAUCCAAAGCUUGAUGCAGCUGUUAGAGAAGCAUUUGAUGUAGCGUACAAUAACAUCUACGCAUUUCAUGCUGCGCAAAGAUCGGUUGAGAGAACUGUUGAAAACAUGAAAGGUGUUAAAUGCAAACGAGUGGCAAGGAGCAUUACCUCUGUUGGUCUUUAUGUUCCUGGGGGAACUGCAGUUUUACCUUCGACGGCUCUGAUGCUCUCAGUUCCUGCACAGAUUGCUGGGUGUAAAACUGUUAUUGUUGCAACCCCCCCUGCUCAGGAUGGAAGCAUCUGCAAGGAGGUACUUUAUUGUGCUAAGAAAGCUGGUGUGACACACAUUCUAAAAGCUGGAGGAGCUCAGGCCAUUUCUGCCAUGGCUUGGGGGACUGCAUCAUGCCCAAAGGUCGAGAAGAUAUUUGGGCCUGGAAAUCAAUAUGUCACAGCUGCUAAAAUGAUUCUCCAAAACAGUGAGGCUAUGGUUUCCAUUGACAUGCCUGCGGGACCAUCAGAAGUUCUGGUUAUUGCUGACAAACAUGCCAAUCCUAUUUAUAUAGCCGCAGAUUUGCUUUCCCAGGCUGAGCAUGGUCCUGAUAGUCAAGUUGUUCUUGUAAUUGUCGGGGAUGGUGUGGAUCUAAUGGCUAUUGAGGAUGAAAUCAGCAAGCAAUGUAAAAGCCUACCAAGGGGAGAGUUUGCUUCAAAAGCACUCAGCCACAGCUUCACUGUGUUUGCUCGUGAUAUGCUUGAGGCAGUGUCGUUUUCAAAUUUAUAUGCACCCGAGCAUCUGAUCAUUAAUGUUAAAGAUGCAGAAAAAUGGGAGAAUUUCAUCGAGAAUGCAGGUUCAGUAUUUUUAGGGCAGUGGACUCCGGAGAGUGUAGGAGAUUAUGCAAGUGGGACAAACCAUGUCCUUCCAACUUAUGGUUAUGCACGGAUGUACGGUGGGGUGUCUCUGGACUCCUUCCUGAAGUACAUUACUGUGCAGUCAUUGACGGAGGAAGGCCUGAGGAAGCUUGGUCCUUAUGUUGUAACCAUGGCUGAAGUUGAAGGGCUCGAAGCACACAAGAGAGCUGUUACGCUUAGACUUCAAGGAAAUUGAAGCAAGACAGAAUUCUAGGUUUAAAGGAACACAGAUUGAACUAGUCUGGAGGGAACUCUAUAGCCAGGAAGGUCUGCAUUGGUGGCUCUCUUUCAUUUCGGAUGGUGCAGAACACUACUUUUCCUUGUCAUAUAUCAUCAAUAUUGUCAUGGUGAUUCUGUAUGUUUGUUCAGCGAAAAUGGGACGAGGACAAAUCUAUAAGCUGUCACAUGGAUUCUGGGCUAAAGAAAAAGGAAAGGAAGUAAUGGUAUCUCUUCUGUGUCUCAAUGAAGAACUGCUGAAGGCUGCAACCAGAAAUGAGAUUUGUAUAGGAACUACAGUGGGUCAAGGCAUUCAGAAAAAGAAAAAAAAAAAAAAAAAAACAAGAGAA